CCUCUGACCUUGUUUCUCUUUCCCCCGAUUUCUUCUUCUUCUUUUUUCCCCGAUUUCUUCUGCUGCUACUCUGUCCUACUCGCUCCAUCUUCUUCCCUCCUCUGUCUGCAUCAUCGUCCCUGUCAACGAAGCGUCGAACGAGACAAACAUUGUUGUCCCUGCAUCCAAGCAUCUCAUUAAUUUUCUGGGUGCGACAAAUGCGUAACGUUUGGGCAGAUUUGGGGAAGCAAGAACUUCCGGUGUCUGGGCAGAUUUGGGUCCAUCAUGGUUGUUUCCUCGUGGAAGGACAAUGGACAAAAACUCUUUGUGCAUGAUCCUUGUUAAUAUUUCGAUUGGUCUUAAAGCAUUGGAUUAGUAGUUGGCUUGCGAGAGGUAUAUGUUGUAUUUGAUUUUGAUUUUUAAUAUAAAUUGUAUAACUUUAGUGGAGUUUGGAUAUCUUAGAUAUUCAUCCAUAACAAAGUAGGUUAUGAGAAUUCUGUGCUGCGGUGAUAACAGAAGGUUGAAAACUUGCAUGUAUUAGUGAAGUAGGUUCUAAGAAUUUUGUGUGCUGCAGUGAUAUAUGAACGAAAACCUAUGUGUUGUUUGAUUUGUUUGUGUUGAUUGUGACAGAUGGCUAGGCUAGUAAAUUAGGGGAUAUGCUGUCCGAUUUUCUGUUUGAUUUACUUUUAUACUUCAAUGUUUUCUCUUCAAAAUU